rnacentral:rRNA from 1 species
UACGAAGGGGGCUAGCGUUGUUCGGAUUUACUGGGCGUAAAGCGCGUGUAGGCGGGUCGGUAAGUUGGGGGUGAAAUCCCGAGGCUCAACCUCGUAACCGCCUUCAAAACUGGCGACCUGGACUCAAGCAGAGGCAAGGGGAAUUGCGAGUGUAGAGGUGAAAUUCGUAGAUAUUCGCAGGAACACCAGUGGCGAAGGCGAGUUGCUGGGCUUGUAGUGACGCUGAGACGCGAAAGCGUGGGGAGCAAACAGG